CCCUUAGAUGUUCUGGGCCGCACGCGCGCUACACUGACUGCUCCAACAAGUUACCUGGGCUGACAAGCAUCCGGGAAAUCUUGCAAAGGCAGUCGUGAUGGGGAUAGAUUCUUGUAAUUUUUGAUCUUCAACGAGGAAUUCCUAGUAAACGCAAGUCAUCAGCUUGCAUUGAUUACGUCCCUGCCCUUUGUACACACCGCCCGUCGCAUCUACCGAUUGAAUGGAGAGGCAAAAUCUUCGGACCGUGACGCUUGGGAGCCAAAUCUCGGGCUGUCGUGGGAAGUGGAUUAAACCUUUCUAUUUAGAGGAAGGUAAAGUCGUAACA
rnacentral:rRNA from 1 species